UACGUAGGGUGCAAGCGUUGUCCGGAAUUAUUGGGCGUAAAGAGCGUGUAGGCGGCCAGGUAGGUCUGCUGUGAAAACUCGAGGCUUAACCUCGAGCUGUCGGCGGAAACCAUCUGGCUAGAGUCCGGAAGAGGAGAAUGGAAUUCCCGGUGUAGCGGUGAAAUGCGCAGAUAUCGGGAAGAACACCCGUGGCGAAGGCGGUUCUCUGGGACGGUACUGACGUUGAGACGCGAAAGCGUGGGGAGCGAACAGG
rnacentral:rRNA from 1 species